GAUGAACGCUGGCGGCGUGCUUAACACAUGCAAGUCGAACGAAGACAUCUGAGUGCUUGCACUUGGAUGGACUGAGUGGCGGACGGGUGAGUAACGCGUGGGUAACCUGCCUUAUACAGGGGGAUAACAGUUGGAAACGACUGAUAAUACCGCAUAAGCGCACAGUGCCGCAUGGUACAGUGUGAAAAACUCCGGUGGUGUGAGAUGGACCCGCGUCUGAUUAGCUAGUUGGCAGGGCAACGGCCUACCAAGGCGACGAUCAGUAGCCGACCUGAGAGGGUGACCGGCCACAUUGGGACUGAGACACGGCCCAAACUCCUACGGGAGGCAGCAGUGGGGAAUAUUGGGCAAUGGGGGAAACCCUGACCCAGCAACGCCGCGUGAAGGAAGAAGGCCUUCGGGUUGUAAACUUCUUUUACCAGGGACGAAGGACGUGACGGUACCUGGAGAAAAAGCAACGGCUAACUACGUG
rnacentral:rRNA from 1 species